GAAAUGGCAGCUGCUGUUUAUCAAAGACAAAGUCUUUUGGCUUUUUAUUUUCUUCUUCAAAUCGUUUUGCGCCAUAAAAAGUCGCUUGCAUUUCUUAACGUUCGUUUCGGUCGUCCGGAUAGAGCAAAGUUCUAUCCAAAGUGCAAAGCUCAGUCGUGUGAGUCAUUUGACGUCAUCCCAGUAACCUCUGGUAUGUUUUCAUAUAGCCGCACGGGUUUGGCACGGGUUUUGCACCACUGAAACAUAUAGUAUGUUAAAGUUAAAGGCCGAGAAGCUGGGCUGUUUAUAACAUACAGAAAAAGAACAAAAAUGCCAAGAAAGAGAAAUUCAUACGUCAUUAAACUUCACAUAAUAUACAUCUUGCCAAAUUAUAUCCAUUCACGCAGUCAUAUGGCUAUCAAAUUACUAAAGCAAAAGUAUUUUGCAAAACUACAAUUAUUUCAUCACACAUCAACAUUCACAUGCCUGUCAUGCUUGACAUGAUGAUUAUGCAUAUGGUCUUACAGAGAGCACAUCACUAUAGGGCAUAAUAGCUUUUAGGAAGAAGAAGAAAGAAAAGGACAGCAAUAAAACAAUAGCCAGUCAUGAAAGUAUUCUACAUUAUUUUGAUUCUUUUGAUUCUUCAUGAAUCGAUCGAAAUAGAAUCAAACGAUCUAUCAAAGCAAAGAUUGAUAAACUCAGUGUCAGAGAGGAAAGAAAAAGGGGACGUUGAUUUGAAAUAUUGUGGAAGUUCACAUCGUCGUCGAUAUUAUUGUAACAGUGACCAAACUUGCUGUUUUCGACCCGGUCAUGCUGCUAAAUACUACUGUUGUUUUCGAAAUGCAGUAUGUUGUCACAACGGGAAUUGCUGCCCUCCUGGAACUGAAUGCGUUAAUCACAAUCUUUGCCGCCAUUUUCAAAAUAUGAGCAACUACUACGUAAAGUGAAAUUCUUUGGUAGUCCAUGAAACAUUUUUACAUCUAAAACGUUUGGGUGAAUGGGUAAAUAUAUGGAAACAUUAUAGCAUAACAGAAAUCAACACAUGUUUUAAGUAAUUAUUUUAUGACAAAAAAUAUAGUAGAGCUUGACAUAAAAUUGUUAACUUGUUAUAUUCUUUGUCGUCACGUUUAAGUUUAAAUCAGUAGAGGGUAGUGAUAUUAAGGGUAUGAUAUGGUCGAAAACGAUAUUUUGAAAAUGUAAUAUAACGCUGAUAUUUUAUAUACAUUAAUAGGAGAAUCUGAAAUCGAA